AUUGAACGCUGGCGGCAUGCCUUACACAUGCAAGUCGAACGGGAUCUGAGGGUAGCUUGCUACCCGAUUUGAGAGUGGCGCACGGGUGCGUAACGCGUGAGCAACCUACCCAUAUCAGGGGGAUAGCCCGAAGAAAUUCGGAUUAACACCGCAUAAUAAUACGCUAACACAUGUUAAUGUAUUUAAAUAUUUAUAGGAUAUGGAUGGGCUCGCGUGACAUUAGCUAGUUGGUAAGGUAACGGCUUACCAAGGCGACGAUGUCUAGGGGCUCUGAGAGGAGAAUCCCCCACACUGGUACUGAGACACGGACCAGACUCCUACGGGAGGCAGCAGUAAGGAAUAUUGGUCAAUGGGCGCAAGCCUGAACCAGCCAUGCCGCGUGCAGGAUGACUGCCCCAUGGGUUGUAAACUGCUUUUGUACGGGAAUAACCCUUUCUAUGUAUAGGAAGCUGAAUGUACCGUAAGAAUAAGGAUCGGCUAACUCCGUGCCAGCCGCCGCAGUAA
rnacentral:rRNA from 1 species